GAUGAACGCUAGCGGAAGGCUUAAUACAUGCAAGUCGAGCGGUAGGUGGCUUCGGCCAUUGAGAGCGGCGCACGGGUGAGUAACGCGUACAUGACCUGCCUGUCAGAAGGGGAUAGCCCUGGGAAACUGGGAUUAAUACCCUAUGGUAUUGAUAUUAUGAAUGAUAUCAAUUAAAGUUGAGGCGCUGACAGAUGGAUGUGCGUCUGAUUAGCUAGUUGGUAGGGUAACGGCCUACCAAGGCGACGAUCAGUAGGGGGCUGAGAGCGUGGUCCCCCACACGGGUACUGAGACACGGACCCGACUCCUACGGGAGGCAGCAGUAAGGAAUAUUGGUCAAUGCCCGCAAGGGUGAACCAGCCAUUCCGCGUGGAGGAUGAAGGCCCUAUGGGUUGUAAACUUCUUUUAGAUGGGAAGAAAAUGCUAGAUGUAUCUGGUACUGACGGUACCAUCAGAAUAAGCACCGG
rnacentral:rRNA from 1 species